AAGUCGUAACAAGGUUUCCGUAGGUGAACCUGCGGAAGGAUCAUUAAUGAUUGGUGGCUGUUGCUGGCUAGUGUUUCUAGUAUGUGCACGCCACACCUUCAAUCCCACUUACACCUGUGCACUUUUUGUAGUGGAUCUAUGUCGAUACAGAGAUGUGAAGGUUUACGCUCUCCUACUCUGUUGAAGCAAGUCUACUACGUCUUUUACACACACGCAAAAUAGUCAUUGAAUGUAUUUUUUAUUCUUAUGAUAAAAACAACUUUCAACAACGGAUCUCUUGGCUCUC
rnacentral:misc_RNA from 1 species